rnacentral:rRNA from 1 species
GAUGAACGCUAGCGGCAGGCCUAAUACAUGCAAGUCGAACGGUGUAGCAAUACACAGUGGCGCACGGGUGCGUAACACGUAUGCAACCUACCUAUCAUUGGGGGAUAGCCUUUGGAAACGGAGAUUAAUACCGCAUAAGACAGUAGCAUGGCAUCAUGUAGCUGUUAAAGCUUUGGCGAUGAUAGAUGGGCAUGUGUCAAAUUAGUUAGUUGGUGAGGUAACGGCUCACCAAGACGAUGAUUGGUAGGGGAUCUGAGAGGAUAAUCCCCCCACCGGGACCUGGGAUACGGCCAAGAUUCUUCCGGGAGGCAGCAGUAGGGAAUAUUGGGCAAUGGACGGAAGUCGAACCCAGCCAUGCCGCGUGCAGGAAGAAGGCGUUAUGGGUUGUAAACUGCCUUUUUAUAGGAAGAAGGAGACCUUGCGAGGUUUGGUGACGGUACUAUAAGAAUAAGCACCGGCUAACUCCGUGCCAGCCGCCGCCGUAACAC